rnacentral:rRNA from 1 species
ACGGUGAUCAUCAAGCUUGCUUGGUGUGAUCAGUGGCGAACGGGUGAGUAACACGUGAGUAACCUGCCCCAGACUCUGGGAUAACUCCGGGAAACCGGGGCUAAUACCGGAUAUGACACCGACGGGCAUCCGUACGGUGUGGAAAGUUUUUUCGGUCUGGGAUGGGCUCGCGGCCUAUCAGCUUGUUGGUGAGGUAGUGGCUCACCAAGGCGACGACGGGUAGCCGGCCUGAGAGGGCGACCGGCCACACUGGGACUGAGACACGGCCCAGACUCCUACGGGAGGCAGCAGUGGGGAAUAUUGCACAAUGGGCGGAAGCCUGAUGCAGCGACGCCGCGUGAGGGAUGACGGCCUUCGGGUUGUAAACCUCUUUCAGCAGGGAAGAAGCGUGAGUGACGGUACCUGCAGAAGAAGCACCGGCUAACUACGUGCCAGCAGCCGCGGUAAUACGUAGGGUGCGAGCGUUGUCCGGAAUUAUUGGGCGUAAAGAGCUUGUAGGCGGUUUGUCGCGUCUGCUGUGAAAAUCCGGGGCUCAACCCCGGACUUGCAGUGGGUACGGGCAGACUAGAGUGUGGUAGGGGAGACUGGAAUUCCUGGUGUAGCGGUGGAAUGCGCAGAUAUCAGGAGGAACACCGAUGGCGAAGGCAGGUCUCUGGGCCACUACUGACGCUGAGAAGCGAAAGCAUGGGGA